AAUGCAGGACACCCAGUUAAAAUCUAAAUUUUAGAUAAACGAGAUUUUUUUUUUUUAGUACAAGUAUAUCCCAUACAAUAUUUGGGAUAUACUUAUACUAAAAAUAAAAUUAUUGUUUAUCUCAAAUUCAAAUUUAACUGGGCAUCCUGUAUUUU
rnacentral:miRNA from 1 species